rnacentral:rRNA from 1 species
AGCCAUGCAUGUUUCCGCAAUCAGGGACGAAUAGCUCAGUAAAACUGCGAUGAUUUAGUCUGGCUGUGUAGAUAACUACGUGAAAAUGUAGCUAAGGGAAGGCAGAAUAAGACGCAGGACUAUCAGUUAGUUGGUAGUGUAAUGGACUACCAAGACAGUGACGGUUGACGGGAAAUUAGGGUUUUGUACCGGAGAGGGAGCCUGAGAGAUUGCUCCCACGUCCAAGGACGGCAGCAGGCGCGAAAAUUGCCCACUCUUUGCAGGAGGCAGUUAUGAGACGUGAAGAUGAGUAUCUUGUAAAGAGGGAUAGGAGAAUUGGAGGGCAAGUUUGGUGCCAGCAGCCGCGGUAAUACCGACUCCAAGAGUGUGUAUGAGAGAUGCUGCAGUUAAAAAGUCCGUAGUCAUAGAAGGGCAAAGAGAGAUGCGAGGUCUCACAGUGCGAUGAUGGAGGAGCCGAUGGGGAACAUAGUAUACCAGGGCGAGAGAUGAAAUGCCAAGACCCCUGGUGGACUGGAGCGAGGCGAAGGCGAU